AUUGAACGCUGGCGGCAUGCCUUACACAUGCAAGUCGAACGGUAACAGGUCUUCGGAUGCUGACGAGUGGCGAACGGGUGAGUAAUACAUCGGAACGUGCCCGAUCGUGGGGAUAACGAGGCGGAAGCUUUUCUAAUACCGCAUACGGUCUACGGAUGAAAGCGGGGGAUCUUCCGACCUCUCGCGGGCCGAGCGGCCGAUGGCAGAUUAGGUAGUUGGUGGGAUAAAAGCUUACCAAGCCGACGAUCUGUAGCUGGUCUGAGAGGAUGAUCAGCCACACUGGGACUGAGACACGGCCCAGACUCCUACGGGAGGCAGCAGUGGGGAAUUUUGGACAAUGGGCGAAAGCCUGAUCCAGCCAUGCCGCGUGCAGGAUGAAGGCCUUCGGGUUGUAAACUGCUUUUGUACGGAACGAAAAGCCUCUUUCUAAUAAAGAGGGGUCAUGACGGUACCGUAAGAAUAAGCACCGGCUAACUACGUG
rnacentral:rRNA from 1 species